GACGAACGCUGGCGGCGUGCUUAACACAUGCAAGUCGAACGGAAAGGCCCUGCUUUUGUGGGGUGCCCGAGUGGCGAACGGGUGAGUAACACGUGAGUAACCUGCCCUUGACUUUGGGAUAACUUCAGGAAACUGGGGCUAAUACCGGAUAGGAGCUCCUGCUGCAUGGUGGGGGUUGGAAAGUUUCGGCGGUUGGGGAUGGACUCGCGGCUUAUCAGCUUGUUGGUGGGGUAGUGGCUUACCAAGGCUUUGACGGGUAGCCGGCCUGAGAGGGUGACCGGCCACAUUGGGACUGAGAUACGGCCCAGACUCCUACGGGAGGCAGCAGUGGGGAAUAUUGCACAAUGGGCGGAAGCCUGAUGCAGCAACGCCGCGUGCGGGAUGACGGCCUUCGGGUUGUAAACCGCUUUCGCCUGUGACGAAGCGUGAGUGACGGUAAUGGGUAAAGAAGCACCGGCUAACUACGUGCCAGCAGCCGCGGUGAUACGUAGGGUGCGAGCGUUGUCCGGAUUUAUUGGGCGUAAAGGGCUCGUAGGUGGUUGAUCGCGUCGGAAGUGUAAUCUUGGGGCUUAACCCUGAGCGUGCUUUCGAUACGGGUUGACUUGAGGAAGGUAGGGGAGAAUGGAAUUCCUGGUGGAGCGGUGGAAUGCGCAGAUAUCAGGAGGAACACCAGUGGCGAAGGCGGUUCUCUGGGCCUUUCCUGACGCUGAGGAGCGAAAGCGUGGGGAGCGAACAGGCUUAGAUACCCUGGUAGUCCACGCUGUAAACGGUGGGUACUAGGCGUGGGGUCCAUUCCACGGGUUCCGUGCCGUAGCUAACGCUUUAAGUACCCCGCCUGGGGAGUACGGCCGCAAGGCUAAAACUCAAAGGAAUUGACGGGGCCCCGCACAAGCGGCGGAGCAUGCGGAUUAAUUCGAUGCAACGCGUAGAACCUUACCUGGGUUUGACAUGGAUCGGGAGUGCUCAGAGAUGGGUGUGCCUCUUUUGGGGUCGGUUCACAGGUGGUGCAUGGCUGUCGUCAGCUCGUGUCGUGAGAUGUUGGGUUAAGUCCCGCAACGAGCGCAACCCUUGUUCACUGUUGCCAGCACGUUAUGGUGGGGACUCAGUGGAGACCGCCGGGGUCAACUCGGAGGAAGGUGGGGAUGACGUCAAGUCAUCAUGCCCCUUAUGUCCAGGGCUUCACGCAUGCUACAAUGGCUGGUACAGAGAGUGGCGAGCCUGUGAGGGUGAGCGAAUCUCGGAAAGCCGGUCUCAGUUCGGAUUGGGGUCUGCAACUCGACCUCAUGAAGUCGGAGUCGCUAGUAAUCGCAGAUCAGCAACGCUGCGGUGAAUACGUUCCCGGGGCU
rnacentral:rRNA from 1 species